UAAUUUGUAAUUCCCAGGGUCGCCUGACAUUGGGCAAAGUCCAGUGAAAAUUGGUUUGGUCCAGUAAAGUUAUAUGCAUUAGUGAUGCCUGGGGACUAACCCUGUAUAUCAUUCAAAUCAUCUUGGCAUGACAAACCAGAAUAUAUAUGGUUUAGGGGUGGGGAUCUUGACCAUUUACAAGAUAUUAGAACUUUCUCAAAUGGCAGGGGGUCGGGAUGACCCCUGGGGACUAACCCUGUAUAUCAUUCAAACCAUCUUAGCAUGACAAACCAGAAUAUAUAUGGUUUAGGGGUGGGGAUCUCGACCAUUUACAAGAUAAUAGAACUUUCUCAAAUGGCAGGGGGUCGGGAUGACCCCUAGGGACUAACCCUGUAUUUCAUUUCAUGUGCUUUAUCAUGACAAACCAGAAUAUAUAUGGUUUAGGGUGGGGAUCUCGACCAUUUACAAGAUAUAAGAACUUUCUCAAAUGGCAGGGGGUCGGGAUGACCCCUGGGGACUAGCCCUGUAUAUCAUUCAAACCAUCUUAGCAUGACAAACCAGAAUAUAUAUGGUUUAGGGGUGGGGAUCUUGACCAUUUACAAGAUAUUAGAACUUUCUCAAAUGGCAGGGGGUCGGGAUGACCCCUGGGGACUAGCCCUGUAUAUCAUUCAAACCAUCUUAGCAUGACAAACCAGAAUAUAUAUGGUUUAGGGGUGGGGAUCUUGACCAUUUACAAGAUAUUAGAACUUUCUCAAAUGGCAGGGGGUCGGGAUGACCCCUGGGGACUAACCCUGUAUAUCAUUCAAACCAUCUUAGCAUGACAAACCAGAAUAUAUAUGGUUUAGGGGUGGGGAUCUGGACCACUUACAAGGUAUUAGAACUUUCUUAAAUGGCAGGGGGUGGGGGUGACCCCUGGGGACUAACCCUGUAUUUCAUUUAAUGGGUUUUAUCAUUUAGAACAUUUUCAAUUAAAAAGAUUGUGUCUAUCACAAACGGUUUUUAAUUUAUAAUCAUUUGAAAAUUUAAAAAAAUAAAA